rnacentral:ncRNA from 2 species
AAGGCCCGCGGUGAUGGAUCUCGCCGGGGUGAGCGUCACCGACGUGGUCGCCCGAACCGCCGACAUCGGCUGAUAGUUCCUGUUCCUGG